UAGGGNUUUUAAAACGUCAAUGGGCGCAAGCCUGAACGAGCAAUGCCGCGUGAGUGAGGAAGGCCUUCGGGUCGUAAAGCUCUGUUGCGAGGGAAAAAGGAACGGAAGAGGAAAUGAUUUCCGUUUUGAUGGUACCUCGCCAGAAAGUCACGGCUAACUACGUGCC
rnacentral:rRNA from 1 species